rnacentral:rRNA from 1 species
AUAACGAAUUUAAUUAAAUGUUUUAUCAUUAUAUAUAAAGAAUUUAUGGCAAGAUAAAGUUAUAUACAACCUCAACUCAUAUGGGACUACCCCCUGAAUUUAAGCAUAUUAAUUAGGGGAGGAAAAGAAACUAACAAGGAUUUUCUUAGUAGCGGCGAGCGAAAAGAAAACAGUUCAGCACUAAGUCACUUUGUCUAUAUGGCAAAUGUGAGAUGCAGUGUAUGGAGCGUCAAUAUUCUAGUAUGAGAAAUUAACGAUUUAAGUCCUUCUUAAAUGAGGCCAUUUACCCAUAGAGGGUGCCAGGCCCGUAUAACGUUAAUGAUUACUAGAUGAUGUUUCCAAAGAGUCGUGUUGCUUGAUAGUGCAGCACUAAGUGGGUGGUAAACUCCAUCUAAAACUAAAUAUAACCAUGAGACCGAUAGUAAACAAGUACCGUGAGGGAAAGUUGAAAAGAACUCUGAAUAGAGAGUUAAACAGUACGUGAAACUGCUUAGAGGUUAAGCCCGAUGAACCUGAAUAUCCGUUAUGGAAAAUUCAUCAUUAAAAUUGUAAUAUUUAAAUAAUAUUAUGAGAAUAGUGUGCAUUUUUUCCAUAUAAGGACAUUGUAAUCUAUUAGCAUAUACCAAAUUUAUCAUAAAAUAUAACUUAUAGUUUAUUCCAAUUAAAUUGCUUGCAUUUUAACACAGAAUAAAUGUUAUUAAUUUGAUAAAGUGCUGAUAGAUUUAUAUGAUUACAGUGCGUUAAUUUUUCGGAAUUAUAUAAUGGCAUAAUUAUCAUUGAUUUUUGUGUUUAUUAUAUGCACUUGUAUGAUUAACAAUGCGAAAGAUUCAGGAUACCUUCGGGACCCGUCUUGAAACACGGACCAAGGAGUCUAACAUAUGUGCAAGUUAUUGGGAUAUAAACCUAAUAGCGUAAUUAACUUGACUAAUAAUGGGAUUAGUUUUUUAGCUAUUUAUAGCUAAUUAACACAAUCCCGGGGCGUUCUAUAUAGUUAUGUAUAAUGUAUAUUUAUAUUAUUUAUGCCUCUAACUGGAACGUACCUUGAGCAUAUAUGCUGUGACCCGAAAGAUGGUGAACUAUACUUGAUCAGGUUGAAGUCAGGGGAAACCCUGAUGGAAGACCGAAACAGUUCUGACGUGCAAAUCGAUUGUCAGAAUUGAGUAUAGGGGCGAAAGACCAAUCGAACCAUCUAGUAGCUGGUUCCUUCCGAAGUUUCCCUCAGGAUAGCUGGUGCAUUUUAAUAUUAUAUAAAAUAAUCUUAUCUGGUAAAGCGAAUGAUUAGAGGCCUUAGGGUCGAAACGAUCUUAACCUAUUCUCAAACUUUAAAUGGGUAAGAACCUUAACUUUCUUGAUAUGAAGUUCAAGGUUAUGAUAUAAUGUGCCCAGUGGGCCACUUUUGGUAAGCAGAACUGGCGCUGUGGGAUGAACCAAACGUAAUGUUACGGUGCCCAAAUUAACAACUCAUGCAGAUACCAUGAAAGGCGUUGGUUGCUUAAAACAGCAGGACGGUGAUCAUGGAAGUCGAAAUCCGCUAAGGAGUGUGUAACAACUCACCUGCCGAAGCAACUAGCCCUUAAAAUGGAUGGCGCUUAAGUUGUAUACCUAUACAUUACCGCUAAAGUAGAUGAUUUAUAUUACUUGUGAUAUAAAUUUUGAAACUUUAGUGAGUAGGAAGGUACAAUGGUAUGCGUAGAAGUGUUUGGCGUAAGCCUGCAUGGAGCUGCCAUUGGUACAGAUCUUGGUGGUAGUAGCAAAUAAUCGAAUGAGACCUUGGAGGACUGAAGUGGAGAAGGGUUUCGUGUGAACAGUGGUUGAUCACGAGUUAGUCGGUCCUAAGUUCAAGGCGAAAGCCGAAAAUUUUCAAGUAAAACAAAAAUGCCUAACUAUAUAAACAAAGCGAAUUAUAAUACACUUGAAUAAUUUUGAACGAAAGGGAAUACGGUUCCAAUUCCGUAACCUGUUGAGUAUCCGUUUGUUAUUAAAUAUGGGCCUCGUGCUCAUCCUGGCAACAGGAACGACCAUAAAGAAGCCGUCGAGAGAUAUCGGAAGAGUUUUCUUUUCUGUUUUAUAGCCGUACUACCAUGGAAGUCUUUCGCAGAGAGAUAUGGUAGAUGGGCUAGAAGAGCAUGACAUAUACUGUUGUGUCGAUAUUUUCUCCUCGGACCUUGAAAAUUUAUGGUGGGGACACGCAAACUUCUCAACAGGCCGUACCAAUAUCCGCAGCUGGUCUCCAAGGUGAAGAGUCUCUAGUCGAUAGAAUAAUGUAGGUAAGGGAAGUCGGCAAAUUAGAUCCGUAACUUCGGGAUAAGGAUUGGCUCUGAAGAUUGAGAUAGUCGGGCUUGAUUGGGAAACAAUAACAUGGUUUAUGUGCUCGUUCUGGGUAAAUAGAGUUUCUAGCAUUUAUGUUAGUUACUUGUUCCCCGGAUAGUUUAGUUACGUAGCCAAUUGUGGAACUUUCUUGCUAAAAUUUUUAAGAAUACUAUUUGGGUUAAACCAAUUAGUUCUUAUUAAUUAUAACGAUUAUCAAUUAACAAUCAAUUCAGAACUGGCACGGACUUGGGGAAUCCGACUGUCUAAUUAAAACAAAGCAUUGUGAUGGCCCUAGCGGGUGUUGACACAAUGUGAUUUCUGCCCAGUGCUCUGAAUGUCAAAGUGAAGAAAUUCAAGUAAGCGCGGGUCAACGGCGGGAGUAACUAUGACUCUCUUAAGGGAGCUGCAAACUAUCAUUGAUAGGGCACAUCUCGAGGGAAAGGAAACCACUCUCCAAUGCUUAUCGCUAUAUCUCCUGGGAAUUUUUCCGGCACAGGGUGUACGACACACACUGACGAGACCUCCUCGGAGACCUCGGAACAGGAGAGAAAGCAGAAGGCAGCAGUACGCUGUCGUCCAGCGUAACUGGGAUAAGCAUAAAGGAAGAUGCAUCAAGUCCUUGCUAAAUGGAACUGAUGAGUCGGUAAUGCCAAGCCAAGAAAUAAUGGUUCCCUACUGGAGAGAAGUAAUGACUCAGCCUAGCCCAAGCUCUUGCAGUGGAGAAGUGAUACAAAUGGAUCACUCGCUUGAGAGGGUAUGGUCUGCUAUUACAGAGCAGGACCUUCGGGCGUCAAGAGUCUCAUUAUCCUCGUCUCCGGGGCCUGACGGAUAACUCCAAAAUCUGCCAGGGAGGUGCCGUCAGGUAUUAUGCUGCGCAUAAUGAACCUAAUUCUAUGGUGCGGUAAUCUACCACACUCUAUACGACUGGCCAGAACCGUCUUCAUCCCGAAGACGGUGACGGCGAAGCGACCGCAAGACUUUCGUCCAAUAUCAGUGCCUUCAGUCCUGGUAAGACAGCUAAAUGCAAUAUUGGCAACCCGGUUGAACUCAUCAAUCAAUUGGGACCCGC